CAGCUCACCUCAUUUGACACAGGGUCUGCUGAAGUCGACUUACCGCUUAUUGUGACUCUUAUUUACUUACUUUCUUUGUCAUUUUUAGAAUACAUGCAGUGAAGCUGUGGAACAGCUCUCAGAAGCUCACAUUUAAAUGUGGGAUGAUAUGGAGGCAUCAGGUGAAAUAUUUGUCUGGUUCGGAGCCCGAGUUUCUCAUCAUAAUUCAGUGAAGGUGGAACAACAUAAAAUCAGAAGAAAAAAAAAUUCCUAUGUGCUCUGGCAAGCAAUUUUGAGUCUGCUGCUUUAAAAAUGAUGGUAAAAUUAAAAGAUGAGAGAAAUACAUCCAAGUGACUUUAACAGUCGAAUGCUGAGCAGUAAUUACACAUCAAGUCUGGAAUCACCAAACUGAAACAUAGGCUUGUCUCUUCUUUUUAUGUGUAGUCUGAGGUUUGUUGAAAUUCUAAAGCCUUUUGUAAAUUAUUGGGAAAUGACAACAUGUGAAAAAGCAGAGGAAAACUUAAAAUGGGUCUAUUUUAGGUUUUUCUUUAUUUAGAUUUUCUGUAGGUUCUUAGGGAACUUCUGAAGCAUUUUGUUUAUAUUAUUAUUUCUUCCUAUGUCACUAGAUAUGCUUACUAAGCUUAGAAAAUGUCCAAGGGCUACAUGACAUGGUCAUGACAUUGAAGUCCUUUUACUACUUUAUCUCGUUAGACUCUAAAGCGCCAUCUGGUAGACAUUAGUUUCUCUAAUGCCCCUUGAGCGAGUCUCAACCCCAGGAUGUUAUCCACUAGCAGAGAUCCUUUUCCUACCUUUGCUUCAUGGAAUGAUAUCUUCUGAUCUUUAGUCUUCAUUCAAUACUUGUUUUCUCCAGAGAAUACUUAAUGAAUGAGUGAAUAAACUGGGUACCAUUUUGUAAAUAAAUCUCAGCCCAGAAUUAUGACUAGGUGCCAAGAAACCUCUUUCUCUCCUAAAUUUAUUCUGUUUUUCCCUUAAAUUUGGCUCUUUUUUCUUUUCUUCUUUCAUUUUUUCAAUUCAUGAUAUUAAGUUUUGACCUAUUAUUGCAAUUGGAAUGAGAAUGCAAAGCACGUGGAAAUAAAAGUAUUCAACAUCUUUUAUUCAUUAAUGCAGUGUUUUCUGCUUCGUAUUUUA
rnacentral:lncRNA from 1 species